AGAAUAACUUCUAAAUGAUGUAGCUCUUCCUCCGCCACCUGGAUGCAACAACAAAAACAGAUGAGCUCAAACCUGAGGAAACCUGGAAUCUGCCCAAAUCAAGCCGUGUAUAGCUGCGAGGUAUUACACAGCCACUAGGAAAGUUGAUGAACUUGAUGGAGUCAGUGGCAUUUCACAAGCCUUCACAGGCACCGGAUCAUGAAAGGCACAUGGGAGGAUCCAGACCCUUCGCGCCCAGCAUGCUUUGCUUGCCAUCGCCUCCACAUCGCCCUUCGGAAGAACGCGGCAGCUGGUCAAGCUCCUCUGAGACCUUUCAGUAGAGCCCUGAGAGGUGAGGUGAGGACGAAUGAUAAGGAACUGAGGCCACCAUGAGCAGGAAGAUAUAGAUGGCAGAAGCAGCAAGGGCUGUUCAUUUUACUUGUUGGGGUUUGUCCCCUACUAGAUCCAGUAUUUACAGAGUUUCACAUCUCUAUAAAUCUGAUAGGAAAGUGCAAA